GACGAACGCUGGCGGCGUGCUUAACACAUGCAAGUCGAACGGAAAGGCCCUGCUUUUGUGGGGUGCUCGCGUGGCGAACGUGUGAGUAACACGUGAGUCACCUGCCCUUGACUUUGGGAUAACUUCAGGAAACUGGGGCUAAUACCGGAUAGGAGCUCCUGCUGCAUGGUGGGCGUUGGAACGUUUCGGCGGUUGGGGAUGGACUCGCGGCUUAUCAGCUUGUUGGUGGGGUAGUGGCUUACCAAGGCUUUGACGGGUAGCCGGCCUGAGAGGGUGACCGGCCACAUUGGGACUGAGAUACGGCCCAGACUGCUACGGGAGGCAGCAGUGGGGAAUAUUGCACAAUGGGCGGAAGCCUGAUGCAGCAACGCCGCGUGCGGGAUGACGGCCUUCGGGUUGUAAACCGCUUUCGCCUGUGACGAAGCGUGAGUGACGGUAAUGGGUAAAGAAGCACCGGCUAACUACGUG
rnacentral:rRNA from 1 species